rnacentral:rRNA from 1 species
UGGCGGACGGGUGAGUAAUGCAUGGGGAGCUGCCCAAUCGAGGGGGAUACCAGCUGGAAACGGCUGCUAAUACCGCAUACGCCCUGAGGGGGAAAGGUGGGGACCUUCGGGCCUACCGCGAUUGGAUGCACCCAUGUGGGAUUAGCUAGUUGGUGAGGUAACAGCUCACCAAGGCGACGAUCUCUAGCUGGUCUGAGAGGAUGACCAGCCACACUGGAACUGAGACACGGUCCAGACUCCUACGGGAGGCAGCAGUGGGGAAUAUUGCACAAUGGGGGAAACCCUGAUGCAGCCAUGCCGCGUGUGUGAAGAAGGCCUUCGGGUUGUAAAGCACUUUCAGUAGGGAGGAAGGGUUGAUGUCUAAUACGCAUCAACAUUGACGUUACCUACAGAAGAAGCACCGGCUAACUCCGUGCCAGCAGCCGCGGUAAUACGGAGGGUGCAAGCGUUAAUCGGAAUAACUGGGCGUAAAGCGCACGCAGGCGGUUAGAUAAGUCAGAUGUGAAAUCCCCGGGCUCAACCUGGGAACUGCAUUUGAAACUGUCUGACUAGAGUCUUGUAGAGGGGGGUAGAAUUCCAGGUGUAGCGGUGAAAUGCGUAGAGAUCUGGAGGAAUACCGGUGGCGAAGGCGGCCCCCUGGACAAAGACUGACGCUCAGGUGCGAAAGCGUGGGGAGCAAACAGG